rnacentral:rRNA from 1 species
GAUGAACGCUGGCGGCGUGCCUAAUACAUGCAAGUCGAGCGAACGGACGAGAAGCUUGCUUCUCUGAUGUUAGCGGCGGACGGGUGAGUAACACGUGGAUAACCUACCUAUAAGACUGGGAUAACUUCGGGAAACCGGAGCUAAUACCGGAUAAUAUUUUGAACCGCAUGGUUCAAAAGUGAAAGACGGUCUUGCUGUCACUUAUAGAUGGAUCCGCGCUGCAUUAGCUAGUUGGUAAGGUAACGGCUUACCAAGGCAACGAUGCAUAGCCGACCUGAGAGGGUGAUCGGCCACACUGGAACUGAGACACGGUCCAGACUCCUACGGGAGGCAGCAGUAGGGAAUCUUCCGCAAUGGGCGAAAGCCUGACGGAGCAACGCCGCGUGAGUGAUGAAGGUCUUCGGAUCGUAAAACUCUGUUAUUAGGGAAGAACAGAUGUGUAAGUAACUGUGCACAUCUUGACGGUACCUAAACAGAAAGCCACGGCUAACUACGUG